rnacentral:lncRNA from 1 species
AUGAACACAGGCGCUCCUGGCCAAAAAAGUAAAUUAGUGGAAAGUUUUCUCCUCCUCUCCCUCUUUCGCCUUCCACUUCGCCCUCCGCCAGCCCGGGCGGGGCGUUGCAGAUAUCUGUGUCAGGUUGCGCUGCCGUGCGAGGCGGGCAGCCGGGCUGCGGGGCGGCGGGGCCGUGCCCGGAGCGGCGGAGGGCGGCCAGCCCCCCGCACCCCCGGCGGCCCCCAACCCCCGGCGGAGGGACCAGAUUUUUCCAUCACAGGAAAACACUUAUGUAAAAACCAAAGAGGAUGGGCGCUCCCGCACGCUGGCCCUGCCCAGGCGGGCAGCAACGAGCACCUGCGGACGCCGAUUCCGUCCCGGCAGCAUCCCGGCAGCAUCCCGGCAGCCCUCGGCUAUCCGCGGCCACGCACCCUCCGCGGGGCUCCGCUCCGCGCCCCGCCGAAACCUCCCCGGAAAGCCCUGACCGCGGGCACCGCCGCCGCUCCCGAGCCCGGGGAGGUCGCUGGUUUCUGCCGCUGACAGCCUGAUUUACAGCAAAUGCUUUCCCAACACCCUCACAAGCCGCAACAAAACACCGAGGUGUGCCGGCUGGCUGCUCCUUCUCAUCCUCUUCUCGGACUGAGGAACGCUUUCGGGAGAAAGUUUAGGUGCAAAGCAAACCGCUUCUCUACCUGCAAGUUAUUUUACGUUCAACGACGCUUGCUGCCACAGUUUAAAAGCCCGGCUCCUUAGCCAAAUUUCAUACCACACAGGCAAAUAAAACCGAAAACGUAAGAGCUGAAAUAGAAAUCAUGCUGAAAACAUUAAAUCGUUGACGCUGUAAAUAAAUUCCCUGAACACCUGGUAGGCUAUAAAUUAAAAUGUAUAGCUAAUAGGCUUCUUUGAUUUACACUGCCCUUUCGACUAAUUAAAAAUAAUUGUGAGAUCCCCUGAAAAGAGCCCCCCCACACUCAUAGGUCCAUUGCACGUGUUAAAGGUAAAACGUCCAUCAAACAUUUUUAGAAUUUCCUCCCCUCUAAAAAAAAAAAAUAAAAAAAAUAAAAAAAAAAAGAAAAAACACCCCAACCCUUACAGACUCAGGAAAAAUAGAUAGCCUUUAUAAACUUGGAAUACUGAAGUUUCUUCACAAUUUAUUACUUCACCUUUUCCUCGAGUUACAGCCCUCUGUGCCUCUCAGAGAUCACCCUGGCAAAACAGUGGUUGAUCUUCUCAGCAAUCUCUUCCAAAACUAUAUUUUAUGCUUAAGAAAAAGAAAAAAAAAGAAGUUAAAUAAAUGAAAAAAAAGGUAAUACUUUUCAAAAGAAAUACAGCUCUACAGAGUUUUUAAUCUGUCUGCAACAGAUUAGUGCUAAAUAAAGGUGUUAAAAGCAGGUGUUUUUCUCCCUUGC